rnacentral:rRNA from 1 species
UACGACUACAUAUCAGGCAUAUCAAUAAGCGGAGGAAAAGAAACUAACAAGGAUUCCCCUAGUAACGGCGAGUGAAGCGGGAAGAGCUCAAAUUUGAAAUCUUAAAGGGUUUCCCUUUACGAAUUGUAGUUUAAAGAAGUGUUUUCUGUUGGAGUUUCGGUAAAAGUUCUUUGGAAUAGGACAUCAUAGAGGGUGAGAAUCCCGUAUUUGACCGUUACUUUCCAGCUGUGUGAUACACUUUCAAAGAGUCGGAUUGUUUGGGAAUGCAGUCCAAGAUGGGUGGUAAAUUUCAUCUAAAGCUAAAUAUUGGCGAGAGACCGAUAGCGAACAAGUAACCGUGAGGGAAAGAUGAAAAGAACUUUGAAAAGAGAGUUAAACAGUACGUGAAAUUGUCAAAAGGGAAGCGUUUGACACCAGUGUUGUUUAGUUGAAAAUCAAUUCAAUAGUUUUUGAUUCUAAGUAGUAUUGACUUCAUCAGCUUGCUGCUUUCUUCUCAGAAAUUAUUGAAUGCACUUUUCAGUUAACAAGUCAACAUCAAUUUCUUUUGUUGUAAAAGGGUAAGAGGAAGGUGGCUUGCGCUUCGGCUCAAGUGUUUAUAGCCUUUUAUCUCUGCAAUCGGAGAGAUUGAGGUCUGCAGCGUAGAUCCUUCGGGGUUAGAUACAUUGGUGCUAAGCUAUAGCCUUGUAUAGACAACUUAUUGACUAUGCUCAGUCAUGUAGCUUACUCGCUGAUGCUAUUUUACCUACGCUUAGGAUGUUGAUCUACAGAGCGAGAGU